rnacentral:lncRNA from 1 species
UUAAAUUUUAGGAACACUUUCAAGAAUCAAUCAUUUGAACAAAAUAAUUUUCCAUGAAAAAAAAAUAGUAGCUCAUGAGUUAAGAUUAAAAAUAUAACGCCACUUUCCGAACUUCUUGUUUCUGCACAUUUCGCAUUAACUUGACCCAAAUCUAUCCACCAAGUAGAUAUACACAAAAGAAUCCCCAACCCCUAAUUCCAUGGAAUAGUAUCCAUUCAUAUUUUAUUAAACAAGAAUGAGUAGCAGAAUAAAAUUCAACGAGAACCCGACUUAUACGAAGAGAUACAACAAUUGGAGUCUUCAAUUCCCUUGGUUUUAGACCAAAAUUUAAUUGUUCAAUACUUAUGCGACGUAGAUAGCCAGGACAGAUUCCAUAACAAGGCUAAUAGUGCAGAAUUUGCAAUCAAACUGUGCAUAUUUGCUGCUUAAUUAGGCAAAACAAAGCAGAUUUUCAGCAGGCUCACAAUCAAAAAAAUGCCCCAAAAUACUGCACGUUUCAGCAUGAUUCAUUGCUCGAAUCAACUGUUUUUAGCAGCGCGAAAGAACUAAGUUCUUACAGCUGUAACGAUGCAGAUAACUUUCGAGCGGGAGAAGGAAAAUAGAGCAAAUCUACACAUAUACAAGCAGCGAAACAAUUGAGUUUCAACACCAAUUUAAGUCAUGAUCUGAUAAGAAUGAAUCAUCAAGCAGCAUACCAGAUUCACAAAUUCUUGUAGUCAACAAAGAAUCCUACUGCCCGUGUCAUUUAACAUGAAGAGACCAAGACAAACUAACAUGGGUCUAACUCAGUAAAACAUAAACCAAUGCAGAUUAGUGCUAGAUUUUGAAAUCAAACAGAACAUGAUACUACAUGGAUCACUAAGAUUCAACCUAGACACUAUUACUAUCCUAAGAACUCAAGAAGAAUUAUUUAGACUUAAUUUUAGGAUUUAAGUAACAUAUCUCAAGUGCAACCUCAAGAAAACAGACAAAAUGCUCAAAGGAACUGCUUCAUGAAUACAGUAGAUGCAUAAUUUUUACAGCAUGAAGAUCAGAGUGCAUUUCCACAUGGAGACAAGGAAACAACUUGAUGCAAAUGUCAAGCAGAUGCUAGCGAAGACGAACAGAUCAAGGACUUAAUAAGCUGGAGACGAGUCGAUCCAAGCCAACAGAGACAAGAAUAUUUAGACAAUUAACCAAAGCUUCAGUGAAGUAUUGCCAGCAGCUUAAUUCAAAAUUAAAUUGCGACUUAGCCAUUCUUACUCACCAACUAAACAUGCUAUUUUCCAAAUUCAAAUUGAAUCAUAUAAGACUAAGAGCAAAGAUCAAACACAACCUCAAAAAUGUUGAAACAAGGACAAAUGUACCAGAUAGUGUACUCAAAUGUGUCACCAAUCGACCCUUGCACCCAAACCGCAAACAACUCGCCGAACUAACAAACCUAAGGUUCUUACCACAUUUUAAUCAUAUCACAAACAAGAUAAGAGAAAGAAUUAGCAAAUGAACCUGAAAUUGAGCUUUCGAUUAAACUUUGAUUGUGAGUAUACAAUGAGAAAUCCAGCGCUGAAAAUCAAACAAACCACGAUGCAGGGACCAACAGCCACGAACAACAACAAUAUAGUUCAAUAAAGCACUUGAACUCCCAGAAAAUUAGUCUCAAAGCAAAGGAAGAAAGAGUUCUCAAUCUCAGCUUCAACACUUCAAAUAAUCCCCAUGCUUAAGAAAAUAGAUUUAAAAUCGAUAUCCAAUAGCGGGAUCCAUUUUUGGAUUUGAGCAGAGUAGAGAAAUAAACAACUUUUUUCGUUUUUUUCUAUAUCCCUAAAAUUAGAAGAAACAAAACUUUGAAACUCAAAAGUAAAACUCUAUAUCUCUUUUCUCUGUUCGGAUGCCAUGAAAUUAAAAGAACAAUUGAAACUAAUAAGAAUAAAAUUUCUGAAGAGCAAAACCCAAAAAAGAAGAAGCCUCCAAAAAUCCUUAAACCUUUUCUUCCAUAUAUGUUUUUACUCUCCCCAGUUUUUUUUACCAGAAUUAUUUUUUUUUUCUCAAAAUCGGAUGAGGUUCCCUAUUGAAAAUGAACACUUGAUAAAUAUGGGGCUCCGAUUUAGUGAAAUUAAUCUAACGCCUCACACUCAUCCAGCAAAAUCGUUCCCCGAACCUUCCAAUCGUGAGAUAUAUCUCAAAUUUAAGCGAGUGAGAGGAGAGGAGAAUCUUGGCAUCAGAAACCAUUAGAAACGGCAAGAUGAGAGAUGGAGGGACGCGUGGUUAUGGGUUUGGAAUCACUCGCCAUGGAUUUGGCGAGUUGAAAUGCGGCUUUUUGAAGAAGACGAUGAAAUAGUCGCGUGAGUUAGGG